rnacentral:rRNA from 1 species
UACGGAGGGUGCGAGCGUUGUCCGGAAUCACUGGGCGUAAAGGGCGCGUAGGUGGCCCGUUAAGUGGUUGGUGAAAUCCCACGGCUCACCCGUGGAACUGCUGGGCAUACUGGCGAUCUUGGGCCAACUAGGGGCAACUGGAACAAGCGGUGGAGCGGUGAAAUGCGUAGAUAUCGCUUGGAACGCCAAAGGUGAAAACAGGUUGCUGGGGUUGUGCCGACGCUGAGACACGAAAGCCAGGGGAGCAAACGGG